rnacentral:misc_RNA from 1 species
CCAUACACUCAGUGUGCCCUAGAGGCCCUGCGGGGUCGCGCUUGCAAUAACCGGAAGGCCAGGAUUGUGUCCCCACCCCUUUCCCCCCAAUCGGGGGUGGGGCAUCCCCUCUUAUGAACACUUUCCUGGAGCGCGGCUGUCUGAAUCCUUUGUCUAUGCGUACUCUCUCGUUUGCUCCCUCGGCGGGGUCACCCGUCGUUGGGUUAGCUUCCCCCACCCUUUUGCAGUAGCAGUAUACUUCUGAUGUUGACAUAAAUCAUUA